rnacentral:rRNA from 1 species
GACGAACGCUGGCGGCGUGCUUAACACAUGCAAGUCGAACGAAGUGGCGGACGGGUGAGUAACGCGUAAUCAACCUGCCCUUCAGCGGGGGACAACAGUUGGAAACGACUGCUAAUACCGCAUACGGAAGGAGGGGAUUGCGUGUGAUUGGCUGGUUGGGGGGGUAACGGCCCACCAAGGCGCUGAUCAGUGGCCGGCCUGGGAGGAUGGACGGCCAAAAUGGGACCGGGGCCAGGCCCAAGCUUCUACGGGAGGCAGCAGGGGGGAAAUUUCCGCCAUGGACGAAAGUCUGACGGAGCAAAGCCGGGUGAGGUAUGACGGGCUUCGGGUUGUAAAGCUCUGUUAAUCGGGACGCGGUACCGGAAUAGAAAGCCACGGCUAACUACGUGCCAGCCGCCGCGGUAAUUC